rnacentral:rRNA from 1 species
UACGUAGGGACCGAGCGUUGUCCGGAAUCAUUGGGCGUAAAGAGCGUGUAGGCGGCUAUUUAAGUCCUGCGUGAAAUCCUGCGGCUCAACCGCAGACGGUCGUGGGAAACUGGAUGGCUAGAGUGCGGGAGAGGAGAGUGGAAUUCCCGGUGUAGCGGUGAAAUGCGCAGAUAUCGGGAAGAACACCCGUGGCGAAGGCGGGUCUCUGGGCCGAUACUGACGCUGAGGAGCGAAAGCGUGGGGAGCAAACAGG